UAUCAGCUUGUUGGUGAGGUAAUGGCUCACCAAGGCGAAGACGGAUAGCUGGUCUGAGAGGAUGGUCAGCCACACUGGGACUGAGACACUGCCCAGACUCCUACGGGAGGCUGCAGUCGAGAAUCAUUCACAAUGCGCGAAAGCGUGAUGAUGCGACGCCGCGUGGAGGAUGAAGGCCUUCGGGUUGUAAACUCCUGUCAGCAGGGAUUAAAUGCAAUUUGGUCAACAGCCUUAUUGUUUGACUUUACCUGCAGAGGAAGCCACGGCUAACUUCGUGCCAGCAGCCGCGGUAAUACGAAGGUGGCGAGCGUUGUUCGGAUUUACUGGGCGUAAAGGGUGCGUAGGUGGUUUAGUAUGUCGGAUGUGAAAGCCCACGGCUCAACUGUGGAAUUGCAUUCGAAACUGCUAGACUAGAGUAUCGGAGAGGUAAGUGGAAUUCUUGGUGUAGCGGUGAAAUGCGUAGAUAUCAAGAGGAACACCGGUGGCGAAGGCGACUUACUGGACGAAUACUGACACUGAUGCACGAAAGCUGGGGUAGCGAAGAGGAUUAGAUACCCUCGUAGUCCCAGCCGUAAACGGUGUACACUUGGUGUAGGAGGAUUUAUCCCCUUCUGUGCCGGAGCUAAC
rnacentral:rRNA from 1 species